UACAGAGGUCUCAAGCGUUUGUUCGGAUUUAUUGGGCGUAAAGCGUGCGUAGGCGGCGGGGUAAGUGAGGUGUGAAAUCCCGGAGCUUAACUCCGGAACUGCACUUUAUACUGCCUUGCUCGAGGGCUGGAGAGGAGACUGGAAUUUACGGUGUAGCAGUGAAAUGCGUAGAGAUCGUAAGGAAGACCAGUGGCGAAGGCGAGUCUCUGGAAAGCUGCUGACGCUGAGGCACGAAGGCCAGGGGAGCAAACGGG
rnacentral:rRNA from 1 species